UAUGUAACUGUGUCGGCAGUUAAUAAUGUGGUGCAUGGUGGUGCUCUUGUGACGACUGUUAGACAUAGCACACCCUUGGUCAUCGACACAACACCACCUGUAAUUGAAGGUGUCAGGGUGGAGCUGUUUAACUCGACUACUGGGUUUUUGUUGCUGCAAUUGAAUGCAAGUGAUGCUGAAUCUGGAUUGGCUAAUGUGUACGUUGGACUGGGGUCUUCAAAAAGAGAAGUGGAUCUAGUGAGAUGGACGGCAGUGAACUACACAGGUGCACAAGUAAAACUUACUGUUGAUGUUGCUGAUGGUCAAGCAACAUACACUAGGGUCAAGGUGACAAACAGAGUUGAGCUUACUGCAACAUCUUUUGCUUCUCAACCACUUGUUAUUGAUCAUACUGGUCCAACAGUUGGGCUUGUUAAUGAUGGCCAAUCAGAUGAUAUUGAUUUUCAAAACGAUACCAAUGAAAUCUGUGCUAAUUGGAAGGGAUUUGGAGACCCUCACAGCGGUAUUUCUGGUUAUAAAG